rnacentral:rRNA from 1 species
GUGAGGAAUUUUCCGCAAUGGGCGAAAGCCUGACGGAGCAAUGCCGCGUGAAGGAUGAAGGCCUAUGGGUUGUAAACUUCUUUUCUCAGAAAAGAAUUAUGACGGUAUCUGAGGAAUAAGCAUCGGCUAACUCUGUGCCAGCAGCCGCGGUAAGACAGAGGAUGCAAGCGUUAUCCGGAAUGAUUGGGCGUAAAGCGUCUGUAGGUUGUUUAAAAAGUAUUCUGUCAAAGAUUAGGGCUUAACCCUAGAUAGGCAGAAUAAACUUUUAAGCUAGAGUUUGGUAGAGGCAGAGGGAAUUCCCGGUGGAGCGGUGAAAUGCGUAGAUAUCGGGAGGAACACCAAAGGCGAAGGCACUCUGCUGGGCCAAUACUAACACUGAGAGACGAAAGCGAGGGGAGCAAAUGGGAUUAGAAACCCUUGUGUCC